rnacentral:rRNA from 1 species
UGAGGAAUAUUGGUCAAUGGGCGCAAGCCUGAACCAGCCAUGCCGCGUGCAGGAAGACGGUCCUAUGGAUUGUAAACUGCUUUUAUUUGGGAAUAAACUCCGGUACGUGUACCGGCCUGAAGGUACCAAAUGAAUAAGCACCGGCUAACUCCGUGCCAGCAGCCGCGGUAAUACGGAGGGUGCAAGCGUUAUCCGGAAUCAUUGGGUUUAAAGGGUCCGCAGGCGGUCUUAUAAGUCAGUGGUGAAAGCCUACAGCUCAACUGUAGAACUGCCAUUGAUACUGUAGGACUUGAAUUCGAUCGAAGUGGGCGGAAUGUGACAUGUAGCGGUGAAAUGCUUAGAUAUGUCACAGAACACCGAUAGCGAAGGCAGCUCACUAGGUCUGGAUUGACGCUCAUGGACGAAAGCGUGGGGAGCAAACAGG